ACAAGAUGCCUCAGAAGAGCUACAUGCUGCAGAUUUUGUUUCCAUGCUCAAACACAGCCUGCACAAACUGCUUGAAGACUCUGUCCAUUGAAUUCAGAUGGCCAAAAGUAUUCAGAGCUGAAUGGCUACAACAUUGAUCCACUGGGUAACCUACAGAAGAACCCUUGAUAAAAGAAAAAUAAAGAACCAUCCUACUGCCUGUCUCCACUCACCUUGGCGAUGCUACUGAAGUAAUAGCAGGCGAAGGCGGCGCUGAAGCCCAGCACCAGGGACAAGCCCACACUAGAACCGAAGAGCCCCACCGGCACCUGGAUAUCCAGACAGUCUGCCAUCUAAAUCAGCAAAAGACAGAAGUGAAUUGGGAAUUCAGGGUUACACACUCAGGAUCAAAGGACUGCAACUUUAAACUUGUCUCUUGGCAAACCAUGUUUAGUCCUUUCCCUAAUCACUGAGGAAGAAUGAGGUUAGCCUGUUGUUCACUGGGGAUCAUGUCACACAUUUCAUUUUGACACCCACCUCUGAACAAUUAGCCCCAUCACUACUGUGAUGGCAUACAGUCUGCUGUCUUUUGCCAUAAUAUCAGCCAGCUAAAAAUCCUGCUCCUUCCAAGUCCCUAAGAAUUUAAUCUUGCUCUGCAGCAGAAGGAGAUGGUGUCCCAGUAUCUUCUCCUCUGUGCAAUGAUUGUCUUUGCUGAAUAAAAUGAGAAGUUAGACUUCUUGGAGGAGGAAUCGAAGAACCAAGAUUUGGAAGGGACACUAUGUAUUUAAAAGCAUUGAACUCCUCUCACUCAGGCACAAGGAAGACUUCCUCAACCAUUUCAGCCAAAGGGUAGUAAAAAGUAUAUGCUUUAGAUCAUCCUCAGCAAGAAGCACCAGCUGUACAUUUGCUGAUAAUGAAUAUCUAAAAAGUAGAAUUGAUGAGAUGAGAAAAUUAUGACCCUAGGGCCAUCAAUGGAUCCUCAUAAAAUCAAAGACCCACACUGGAAAGAGAAAAUGUUCUGGUAAUUUGCCAUUCACGACUCUUAUGAAUUUGUGUACCAUUGAAUGGCUGCAAAAUGCCCCAUAGUAAUGUAGUAAGUUCAGUACAAGCAAAAUUCACUCUCAGCAUAAAGACAUCCGAGCAGUUUAAGAAUGACACACCUUCUUGGCAUGAUACGUGUUAAUCUUUUGAGGCUUCCACUGCAGAAGUGGAACUCAAACUCUGUGGUAGGGAAUGGAUGCACAAGGGGCACAUUUUCACAUUAAAGAAGCUAUUCCUUAUGAGCAAAUACUUUGGAGUCUUAGUAUGGUGGAGGAAACAGUGGGUAAUGGGAUCAAUGCUAUAGUCGUUUAUAAGUUUUGUAUCACUGCUGUGCUAUACUGUGAGAAAGCUGUAUGCAAGAAAAGUCAGGAAAUGUUUUCAUGAGCUCUUCUACCACUGGCGUGUAAAGGAAGUACAGAAAGGGAAAUAAUAACCUAGUUAUGAGGGAAGCGCAGCUACCUUUUAGCAGUUAUUUUUUCUCUUCUGACUAAUCACUUCUCUUUCAAAUCCUGCCUAGGAUGCUUAUUACUCAGCAUAGCACAUCCUUGUAAGGACAGAUAAGAACAAUGAUAAUAUCAGUCCGUCUUUUUUUAGUUAUAUCCUCUGUCAAUCAUAAUAUGAUUUCUUAUUAGAACAGAAGGGGAAAACAUUAUUUAAGAUGCGUAAACAUCAACUUGGCAUGUGUGGAAUUAACCCAAGAAUAAUCUUUAGAGUGAAAUAUGCAUGUGUGUAGAUUAAUUAAGAGCCAUAUUCUAGAUCUUUGUGCAAAGUCUGGGUUUUGUGCAGAGGAACUUCAUGGGGAGCCAGAG